GAUGAACGCUGGCGGCGUGCCUAAUACAUGCAAGUCGAGCGAACGGACGAGAAGCUUGCUUCUCUGAUGUUAGCGGCGGACGGGUGAGUAACACGUGGAUAACCUACCUAUAAGACUGGGAUAACUUCGGGAAACCGGAGCUAAUACCGGAUAAUAUUUUGAACCGCAUGGUUCAAAAGUGAAAGACGGUCUUGCUGUCACUUAUAGAUGGAUCCGCGCUGCAUUAGCUAGUUGGUAAGGUAACGGCUUACCAAGGCAACGAUGCAUAGCCGACCUGAGAGGGUGAUAGGCCACACUGGAGCUGGGACACGGUCCAGACUCCUACGGGAGGCAGCAGUAGGGAAUCUUACGCAAUGGGCGAAAGCCUGACGGAGCAACGCCGCGUGAGUGAUGAAGGUCUUCGGAUCGUAAAACUCUGUUAUUAGGGAAGAACAUAUGUGUAAGUAACUGUGCACAUCUUGACGGUACCUAAUCAGAAAGCCACGGCUAACUACGUG
rnacentral:rRNA from 1 species